rnacentral:rRNA from 1 species
GGAGUCUAGCAUGUGCGCGAGUCAUUGGGACAUAACUAAACCUAAAGGCGCAAUGAAAGUGAAGGUCCGCCUUGCGCGGACCGAGGGAAGAUGGGUGGCCGUUACGGCUGCUGCCCCGCACUCCCGGGGCGUCUCAUUCUCAUUGCGAGAAGAGGCGCACCAAGAGCGUACACGCUGGGACCCGAAAGAUGGUGAACUAUGCCUGGUCAGGACGAAGUCAGGGGAAACCCUGAUGGAGGUCCGUAGCGAUUCUGACGUGCAAAUCGAUCGUCGGAACUGGGUAUAGGGGCGAAAGACUAAUCGAACCAUCUAGUAGCUGGUUCCCUCCGAAGUUUCCCUCAGGAUAGCUGGCGCUCGUAGCGCACGAGUUUCAUCCGGUAAAGCGAAUGAUUAGAGGCAUUGGGAUCGAAACGGUCUCAACCUAUUCUCAAACUUUAAAUGGGUGAGAUCUCCGGCUUGCUCGAACUCUUGAAGCCGCGAGACUCGAAUCAGAGUGCCAAGUGGGCCAUUUUUGGUAAGCAGAACUGGCGCUGUGGGAUGAACCAAACGCUGAGUUAAAGCGCCUAAAUCGACGCUUAUGGGAUACCAUGAAAGGCGUUGGUAACUUAAGACAUCAGGACGGUGGCCAUGGAAGUC